rnacentral:rRNA from 1 species
UCUUUUAGAUAUUGGGUAGGGGAGCGUUCUGUAAGCCGUUGAAGGUGAAUCGUAAGGUUUGCUGGAGGUAUCAGAAGUGCGAAUGCUGACAUGAGUAACGACAAAGGGGGUGAAAAACCUCCUCGCCGGAAGACCAAGGGUUCCUGUCCAACGUUAAUCGGGGCAGGGUGAGUCGACCCCUAAGGUGAGGCCGAAAGGCGUAAUCGAUGGGAAACGGGUUAAUAUUCCCGUACUUCUGACUAUUGCGAUGGGGGGACGGAGAAGGCUAGGUGGGCCAGGCGACGGUUGUCCUGGUUCAAGUGCGUAGGCUUGAGAGUUAGGUAAAUCCGGCUCUCUCUAAGGCUGAGACACGACGUCGAGCUGCUACGGCAGUGAAGUCAUUGAUGCCAUGCUUCCAGGAAAAGCCUCUAAGCUUCAGAUAGUCAGGAAUCGUACCCCAAACCGACACAGGUGGUCGGGUAGAGAAUACCAAGGCGCUUGAGAGAACUCGGGUGAAGGAACUAGGCAAAAUGGUACCGUAACUUCGGGAGAAGGUACGCUCUUGAUGGUGAAGUCCCUCGCGGAUGGAGCUGACGAGAGUCGCAGAUACCAGGUGGCUGCAACUGUUUAUUAAAAACACAGCACUGUGCAAAAUCGCAAGAUGACGUAUACGGUGUGACGCCUGCCCGGUGCCGGAAGGUUAAUUGAUGGGGUUAGCGCAAGCGAAGCUCUUGAUCGAAGCCCCGGUAAACGGCGGCCGUAACUAUAACGGUCCUAAGGUAGCGAAAUUCCUUGUCGGGUAAGUUCCGACCUGCACGAAUGGCGUAAUGAUGGCCACGCUGUCUCCACCCGAGACUCAGUGAAAUUGAAAUCGCUGUGAAGAUGCAGUGUACCCGCGGCUAGACGGAAAGACCCCGUGAACCUUUACUACAGCUUGGCACUGAACAUUGAACCUACAUGUGUAGGAUAGGUGGGAGGCUAUGAAGACGUGACGCCAGUUGCGUUGGAGCCGUCCUUGAAAUACCACCCUUGUAUGUUUGAUGUUCUAACUUAG